UUUGAAUCUCCAAAACAGAAGCAAACAAAAUCAAUAUUUUGCAAGUCCUCUGACAAUUCCCUUGUCAUCACAGAACCAUGGUUAUAUUACAGCAUUGUUUGCAAGAAACCAGGAUCAAAGCUUGUUACAGUUUCACAACAUGGCUGGAUGUCUGUGUUCAUUUGGAAAGAAAGUUAUUCCAAUUGGAGCAUGGUGCUGCAUGUGGCACUUGGAAUGUGAGAAAAUGUAUGAUGAAGCUUUAUGUUGGAUCAGGUCCAAUGACAACACAACAUUGAAGAAAACAUCCAUCCUUAAGAGAGACUUUGUUCCAUACAAUGUGGGAUUUCAGCACAUUACACAUGAGGAAGUCAUUGAAAACCACAUCCAUCAACUGUCAAGAGAUUCUUUUGACUGAUGAUAUAACCUCAAACCCUGCAAUCUUGGUAUUGGACGGAGUGUACAUUUACGUUUAAAAAAGCUCCAAUUUCACAUGUGUGUGGCAGUCUCACAGUAAUGCACAAGCGCAGACCAAUGAUGGUUUUGACUACGAUAUAUUGUAUUGGUUCUUGGACCCUAUCUUGACGACUCAAUGCAAAAAUCGUGAAGCACAUGAUUUGCUGAAGAACUCCAGAACUGGCUGCAAGAAUAUUAUAUGUUUUUUGAUAUCAGGAAUUUAGGGAUGCCUUUGAUGUUUUGGAAGAUAUUGGAAUAAGGAUGGAGAUGCCAGCAUUCUUGACACAAUGAGACAAACAGCUGCCCACACUUGAUUCUAACAAGUCAAGAAAUGUUACAAAGGUGUGAUUUAUUGAAGUAUCUGAUUAUAUAAAUAUUCCUAAUAGUAUAGUCAUAUAAGCUUUCAAUAUGAAAAACAAGUGUAUAUAAAAUAAUGGAAUAUUGUUUCACUGUAUGUGUAAUGUUUUAUUUUCUUUCCAGGUCAGGUGGAUUGUCAAAACAGCUAAUGGGCAUAUUGAUAUUGGUGAUAUUUAGCAAAAACCUUGCAAAUCUCAUUCGUUGGUGACUAUGUGAGAACUGUAGCAGCAUAGGUCACCACUCAGCAUGUCAUCAGAGGAGGACCAAUAACUUACUGCAUAAAUGAUCUACCUUUCCCACAGAGAAUGUGUGGGGGCUUGACAGAGGAGGGUUUUGUGGGACAAUAGUGGACACGGAGAAUGUUGCUUCAGAAUUCCCAAAUUACAAUACUGAAUUGUGUCAACUAACUCUUGGACCAGCUUCAUAUCUCUCAGCCGUACACUCGCAAACACAGGGAUUUGAAAUCUUGAUCAGUAAGGAAAUUUCUGGGAUGGAGUGCACCAAGAUUAAAGCUGCCUUAUCUCUGCCAAACAGAUGAUGGGUCAGUUACCAGAGGGAAUUAUUGAUAGCUGGUACUGCUAUGUAAAACUGGCACCAUUGUUGUUGAAAUAAGUGGACAUUUGACAAUGUCAGGAAUCACUGAAGGAGGUUCAGAGCUGGAUGACAUCACUGGAAGAUGCAUCUAUUUACCAGGAUUUCAUAGGUGGUGUGGGCAGAAGAUUUCAAUGUUGUGGAGGAGUGAGAGAGGGUGAUGGUGUGGAAGUUUGUGGGUUAAGGUUGUGUGUGUCUGUGUGUGAGAGAAUGAUUUACAAUCUUAUAAGUGCAAAAAGGUCAAUUAAAAUAUAUAAAGAUGAACAACUAAUAUAAUUUUAUACAUACAUUCGAA